rnacentral:rRNA from 1 species
AAUAGAUACCCGGGUAGUCCACGCCGUAAACGAUGUCGACUUGGAGGUUGUGCCCCUUGAGGCGUGGCUUCCGGAGCUAACGCGUUAAGUCGACCGCCUGGGGAGUACGGCCGCAAGGUUAAAACUCAAAUGAAUUGACGGGGGCCCGCACAAGCGGUGGAGCAUGUGGUUUAAUUCGAUGCAACGCGAAGAACCUUACCUACUCUUGACAUCCAGAGAACUUAGCAGAGAUGCUUUGGUGCCUUCGGGAACUCUGAGACAGGUGCUGCAUGGCUGUCGUCAGCUCGUGUUGUGAAAUGUUGGGUUAAGUCCCGCAACGAGCGCAACCCUUAUCCUUUGUUGCCAGCGGUUAGGCCGGGAACUCAAAGGAGACUGCCAGUGAUAAACUGGAGGAAGGUGGGGAUGACGUCAAGUCAUCAUGGCCCUUACGAGUAGGGCUACACACGUGCUACAAUGGCAUAUACAAAGAGAAAGCGACCUCGCGAGAGCAAGCGGACCUCAUAAAGUAUGUCGUAGUCCGGA